CCACUUGUUGGUUGUUCUGGUGUUCCUCAGUGGCCCGACUCUUGGUUACAUGGGCAUCUACAUGGCGUACCUUCACCACCAGGUUCGGCACCUGGGCAGCAAUAUCUUUCCACAGUGCAGCAGCCCAGAUGGGUUUACCUCUGCAUUGCCAGUUGCUCUGCUUCCAUUGCUGCAACCACUCCCACAGGGCAUUUGCCACCAUCCAUGAGUCAGUAUAGAGAUAAAGUACUGGCUAUUUUUCUCAUUCAGCAGGGAAACUGAGGUACUUGGUGUAAGAUCUCAGAUGGCUUAUCCAUUGAUUUUAAUGCAAAACAAGUGUAACAUUUUCAUUUUAUUCUCUUUAUCUCAGCUGAAGAAAGGAUCUCUUGACCUUGCAAAGUGAAUAUGAAUAUAUAUUUGCACAGCAGCAAUGCUUUAGAUUUUAUUUUGACAACAGAAGUUAAAAGUCACAUCAGCAUCAGGAUGAAAAGCACCCUACUCAGACUUGUUAAUACAAAAUAAAUCACUGGGUACUAAAGUAAAAGAUGAAUCCCUGAGGCAUCUGGUUACACAUAAGAAAAUAAUGUCCUGUGACUUAAUUCCUUGGACUUUCAAAUAUGCACUCAGCUAGAAAGCUAUCCUGCUCAUCAUGCUGAUGCUGUAUUAAACAAGUAAAUAAACCAGCUUCCUGUUCUGGAAUGAAGUGAACCUACAGACUCAAAGGAAAAUUCUCCUAAUCAUCAUAGAGCACUCAGCUUUGCAUACGAUUUAAAUCUAAAAGCACCAACACAGGAUAGUAUAAUGAAAAUGUAUUUUCAAGCCCUGCUGAAGGACAUGGAACUGUUUCCUGUUGAUGCUAGAGGACAGAGGAGGACACUUUUACAUAAGACCGCAUUACACGAGAAACUCUUACUUAACCAUCUGCACUGUGCUUGCAGUGUUUUGUUUCUAGUCUUUGUUGACAGAGAAUAAUCUUUCAUAUUUCUCCCUAUUA